rnacentral:lncRNA from 1 species
UUUUUAUAGCACCCUAGGAUAGAAGAUCUGAAUGCGGAAGGGACGUGGUCCCAAUAUUGAAUUUCUCUUGCAGGGGUGUUAUUUGUUUAUAUAUUGUGUGUUUGUUUAUAUAUUAUUUAAACUUUAUAAAUAUUAUAUUUUGAUAGUUUGAGAGUUAAAUAUUGUUUUUGACGUUGGAAAAGUUCUGGAAUGAUAUGAAUUUUUAAAUGUUAUGUGAUUGAAUGAUAUGUAUUAUAUGCGAAUGAUGUAAAUUGUAUGAAAGUGAUGUCAUACAUUUGGGAUNNNNNNNNNNNNNNNNNNNNNNNNNNNNNNNNNNNNNNNNNNNNNNNNNNNNNNNNNNNNNNNNNNNNNNNNNNNNNNNNNNNNNNNNNNNNNNNNNNNNGAUCCUCUGGCUUCACUAUGAUCUAAGUCAUGUAGACUAAGAUAUUAGGUGGUGAAAAGCUGAGAGGGAGUUCAUACACACCGGGUCCCACUGUAGACACUCGGUAUUGGAUGUUUGAACUAGCCUCAAGACUUAGUUAAAAGUUUCUAAUAAGAUGUUUGACAAAGUUGUUUUCCUGAAAUCUUGUUUGUGUUCGAGUCAAGUUAAUUGUUAUGAAUAAAGAUGAAAGUAUUAAGAAUGAAAAGAAUCUUGAUAGAGUGGUGAGGGUGCACACUCAUGACUAGAUCAAGAUUAUUUUCUAUCUUAAUUCUAAGUAGCUAGAGUACAUUUUAGGGAUAAGUUUUGAUUGGUUUUUCCUUGUUUCGUAUGAUUAUUUCUUUGAAGUUAAUUUGUCUUAAAGAUGUAGUUGAAAAUUUUUAGUAAUUUCUAAUCCAAUUCUUUAUGUGCUUAGAAGAUGGCACGUAGACCACCUACUCCUCCUCCACCAGUAGAUAUGCCCAACUUAGUUCGGGCAAUAGAGAUGAUGGCAACAGCCUUGCAACAACAGAGUGCUACUAUGGCACAACAGCAUCAGGCCGCCCUUCAUCAAUUAGAAACAGCUAGAUUAGCAGCAGAAGCAUCUCAACUUCAUCAACAACCCCAUACCUUUAGUCUGGAGGAUUUUUUGAGACACAAUCCACCCAAAUUUAAUGGCAAGGUAAAUCCAGAUGGAGCAAACCAGUGAGUGAGAGGCAUAAAAAGAAUCUUUGAAGCUACUCAAUGCCCUGAAGAGAGAAAGUUAUCUUAUGUCAUCUAUAUGCUUAUUGAAGAAGCUGAGUUUUGGUGGAUAGGCAUGAAGCAAAUGAUGGAAGACAAAGGAGAAGAUACCACUUGGGAGAACUUCAAAGUAAGAUUCCUAGAGGAGUAUUUUCCUGAUAGUGUCAGGUAUGCAAAAGAAAAUGAAUUCAUGCAGCUGGAACAAGGAAAUCUUUCAGUCACUGAAUAUGCUACUAGGUUCAAACACCUAGCUAGAUUCUACACCUAGACCAUGACCGAGGCUUGGAGAUGUAGAAAAUUUGAGUUUGGAUUGAAGCAAGAACUUAAAGAAAUGGUGAUUCCUAUGUCCAUUAGAGAUUUCCCUGCUCUAGUGGAGAAAGCAAAAGUAGUGGAGAGUUUGAAAAAUAGUAGCAGACUUGCUAAGCCUCAAGUGGGAGGACCUUCUAGAAGCACACCCAAAUAUGAAGAUAAAAAGAAGCCUUAUUCCAGACCUCAAUCCUUCAGGAGUGGAGGGCCUACUUCUCUGUUGCUACCAAAUGUCAAAUGUUUUAGAUGUGGUGGGGAACACAUAGUUAAAUUUUGUCCUCAUCCAGUGCCAAAUGUUACAUGUGAUAGAUGCCAUAGAUAUGGUCAUGCUACGAAGGACUGUCGUGCCAGACUUCCAGUCCCAAAUAUUACUGGAGUACAUCAGAAUAAUAAUCACAAACCCAGAGCUACUGGUAGAGUUUUUGCCAUUAGUGGAGCUAAAGCUUCGAAGUCUGAUAGCCUUGUUAGAGGUAUUUGUUCUAUCCUUGGAACACAAUUAUCUGUAUUGUUUGAUUCUAGGGCAACCCAUUCUUUUAUAUCUUUUGAUUGUGCUAAGAAAGUUAAGUUGUCAGUCCGAGAGUUAGAAUUUAAGUUGGUGGUAUCUACACCAAUAGAAGGUAUUAUAGUAACUUCUUCCAUGUGUGCUGAGUGUCUAGUAAUUAUAGAUGGGCAGAGAUACAAGAUCAACAUGAUUUAUAUACCUCUAAAAGAUUUGGAGGUUAUUUUGGGAAUGAAUUGGUUGUCUGCUAAUGAUAUCCUUAUAGAUUAUGGUCGGAAGAAGUUAAUUUUCCCUAAAUUAGAAGGAAUGCAGGUUAUCUCAGCUCAUCAGUUUGAGAGAGAGAUACAAGAAGGUGCAAGAUGUUUAUGCUUUUGGCUUAUUCUAUAGUUACAGAUAAAGUACAAAAAGAGAUGUUUGUAGUUCAGGAGUUUAUGGAUGUAUUCCAUGAUGAGAUUUCUGGUCUUCCACCAAAGAGAGAGAUAGAGUUUGCAAUUGACUUGAUUCCUGGAGCAGGCCUAGUGUCAAUCUCUCCAUACCGAAUGACACCAACGGAGUUAGCGGAAUUGAAGAAACAACUAGAAGACUUAUUAAAGAAACAAUUCAUUCGACCUAGUGUUUCUCCAUGGGGAGCUCCAGUGCUAUUAGUGAAGAAGAAAGAUGGUUUGUCACGUUUAUGCAUAGAUUAUAGACAAUUAAACAAGUUAACAAUAAAGAAUAAAUAUUCUCUUCCUAGAAUUGAUGAUCUGAUGGAUCAGUUGCAUGGGGCAGUUUUCUUUUCUAAAAUAGAUUUGUGCUCAGGUUAUCACCAAAUUUCAGUGAAAGCGGAAGAUGUUCAGAAGCCUGCUUUUAGAUCAAGGUAUGGUCACUAUGAAUUUCUGGUCAUGCCAUUUGGUGUGACCAAUGCUCCAACUAUCUUCAUGGAUUAUAUGAAUCGGAUAUUCAAACCUUUUCUUGAUAAGUUUGUGGUAGUGUUCAUAGAUAAUGUCUUGAUCUAUUCUCGUACAAGGGAAGAACAUGCAGAACAUCUUAGAACUGUCCUAAACAUUUUGAGAUAAAAACAGUUAUAUGCUAAACUUUCAAAAUGUGACUUUUGGAUGUCAGAAAUACAGUUUUUAGGACAUUUCAUCUCUGCACAGGGAAUAUCAGUAGAUCCUUCUAAAGUGGAGAUUGUACUUCAGUGGGAACGUCCUAAAAUAGUUACAGAAAUUAGAAGCUUCGUCGGGUUAGCAGGAUAUUACAGGAUAUUUAUAGAAGGCUUUUCUAAAAUAGUGGCUCCUUUGACCCAAUUGACUAGAAAGGAUCAUCCUUUUGCAUGGACUGAACAAUGUGAGAAAAGCUUUGAAGAGUUGAAAAGAAGGUUGACUAAUGCUCCUGUAUUGACAAUCCCUUAUACCAAUCAGUCUUUUGAAGUUUUUUGUGAUGCUUCCUAUCAGGGAUUGGGUUGUGUUUUGAUGCAGAAUAAGAAAGUUGUUGCCUACGCUUCUCGUCAGUUAAAGGUGCAUGAAAGAAAUUAUCCAACUCAUGAUCUAGAAUUGGCAGCAGUUGUCUUUGCUUUAAAAAUAUGGAGACAUUUUCUUUACGGAGUUAGUUUUAAUGUGUUCAGUGAUCAUAAAAGCUUGAAGUAUUUGUUUGAUUAGAAGGAGUUAAAUAUGAGGCAGAGGAGAUGGAUUGAAUUUUUAAAAGACUAUGAUUUCCAGCUAAUAUAUCAUCCUGGAAAAGCAAAUGUUGUUGUAGAUGCGUUGAGUCGUAAAAAGAUACAAAUGUCGUCGCUUAUGAUUAGAGAGCUAGCAUUGAUUGAAGAUUUCAGGAGUAUGAAUUUGGAGGUUUCCAUGUCUUCAAAUUGCAUUAGUUGUAAUACACUUGUUAUAACUAAUGAAUUUCUGGAGAAGGUGAAGGAGAAGCAGUUGGAAGAUUCAAAAUUGAAGAACAUCAUGGGCUUAUUAAAUACUGACAAAGCUAAAGACUUCUCUUUAGGAGUGGAUGGUAUUUUGAGAUUCAAAAAUAGAAUAUGCAUACCAGAGGAUAAUGAACUAAAGCAAACAGUGUUAUCUGAAGGUCAUAAAAACAAACUCAGUUUACAUCCAGGAAUGACCAAGAUGUAUCAAGAUGUCAAGAAGUCUUAUUGGUGGCAUGACAUGAAGAAUGAUGUAGCUAAGUUUGUAGUUGCUUGCUUGACUUGUCAGAAAUCAAAGAUUGAACAUCAAUGACCUGGAGGCAUGUUAACUCAGUAAGACAUUCCAGUGUGGAAGUGGGAUAGUAUCUCAAUGGAUUUGGUUACCCACUUACCACAUACUUUGCGGUAGCAUGACUCUGUUUGGGUCAUAGUGGACAGGAUGACAAAGACGACACACUUCCUACCUAUAGACUUGAGAAUCUCUAUCCAGAAGUUAGCCCAGAUUUACAUAGAUGAAAUAGUCAGAUUGCAUGGUGUACCCUCCAGCAUAGUUUCAGAUAGAGAUCCCAGAUUCACCUCUAGAUUCUGGCAAACACUUCAAGAAGCUUUGGGGACUAAACUCAGACUUAGUUUAGCGUACCAUCCUCAAACUGAUGGACAAUCAGAGAGAACUAUCCAGUCCUUAGAAGAUUUGCUUAGGACUUGUGUGUUAGAUCAUUUGGGCAGUUGGGAUGAAAUUCUACCUUUGGUAGAGUUCACUUACAAUAACAGUUACCAAGCUAGCAUAGGAAUGACUCCUUUCGAGGCAUUGUACGGAAGAAAGUGUAGGACACCUCUGUGUUGGUUUCAGGAUGGUGAGAGUGUGUUAAUUGGACUAGAAUUAAUACAACAAACCAAUGAGAAAGUCAAAAUGAUUCAAGAAAGAUUGAAAACAUCUCUCAGCAGGCAAAAGUCUUAUGCAGAUCAAAGAAGAAGACCUUUAGAAUUCUCUGCGGGCGAGCAUGUCUUUUUGAGAGUUACACCGUUCACUGGUGUAGGAAGAGCACUCAAAUCCAAGAAAAUGACUUCUAAGUUCAUAGGACCUUAUCAAAUUCUCAGGAGAAUAGGCCUUGUGGCUUACGAAAUUGCUUUGCCUCCUCCUUUAGCUAACAUUCACAAUAUUUUCCAUGUAUCUCAGCUAAGAAAGUAUGUACCCGAUCCUAGCCACAUUUUAGAGUCUGAUUUCAUCCAGGUGAAAGAAAAUCUGUCAUUUGAAGUGAGACCAAUCAGAAUUUUAGAUUCACAAGUGAAACAACUUCGUGGAAGAAGUAUUCCCAUGGUGAAAGUAUUGUGGGAUCUCAUCUCUGGAGAUUCCACUUGGGAAAUUGAAGAGGAGAUACGAGCAUCAUACCUUAACCUCUUUCUUGGUAAGUUCAUUUUCGAGGACGAAAAUUUUUGUAGUUGGAGAUAAUGUAACAACGCUUUUUUUUAAAAAAAGCAGCAGCCCCGUCACACACAUUCUUUCUUUCUCUCUCUCCCUCCAUAUGCUUUUCUCUCCCUCUCUCCUAAUUUUCUCUCCCAAACUUCAUCUUUUUUAGAAUCUGAUCAUACCAUGCUGUAGCUGAGGAGUUAAGGAACAUUUCUACCCGAUCAGAUUUCUAAACAGAGCCCGUAAAUCUUGAAGCUUAUCCAGACUGUGGGAAAUAAAAUUCUAGAAGUUGCUUGGAAAGCAAGCAAUUGAGGUAAGGGAAGCUAAAUUUAAUUUUAUUAUAGCACCCUAGGAUAGAAGAUCUGAAUGCGGAAGGGACGUGGUCCCAAUAUUGAAUUUCUCUUGUAGGGGUGUUAUUUGUUUAUAUAUUAUUUAAACUUUAUAAAUAUUAUAUUUUGAUAGUUUGAGAGUUAAAUAUUGUUUUUGACGUUGGAAAAGUUCUGGAAUGAUAUGAAUUUUUAAAUGUUAUGUGAUUGAAUGAUAUGUAUUAUAUGCGGAUGAUGUAAAUUGUAUGAA